CUGGUGAGUAACGCGUGAGGAACCUGCCUUUCGGAGGGGGACAACAGUUGGAAACGACUGCUAAUACCGCAUGACGUAUCGGGAUCGCAUGGUCUUGAUACCAAAGAUUUUAUCGCCGAAAGAUGGCCUCGCGUCUGAUUAGCUAGUUGGUGGGGCAACGGCCUACCAAGGCGACGAUCAGUAGCCGGACUGAGAGGUUGGCCGGCCACAUUGGGACUGAGAUACGGCCCAGACUCCUACGGAAGGCAGCAG
rnacentral:rRNA from 1 species